rnacentral:rRNA from 1 species
UAGAUACCCGGGUAGUCCACGCCGUAAACGAUGUCUACUUGGAGGUUGUGGCCUUGAGCCGUGGCUUUCGGAGCUAACGCGUUAAGUAGACCGCCUGGGGAGUACGGUCGCAAGAUUAAAACUCAAAUGAAUUGACGGGGGCCCGCACAAGCGGUGGAGCAUGUGGUUUAAUUCGAUGCAACGCGAAGAACCUUACCUACUCUUGACAUCUACAGAAUCCUGCGGAGACGCGGGAGUGCCUUCGGGAACUGUAAGACAGGUGCUGCAUGGCUGUCGUCAGCUCGUGUUGUGAAAUGUUGGGUUAAGUCCCGCAACGAGCGCAACCCUUAUCCUUGUUUGCCAGCGAGUCAUGUCGGGAACUCCAGGGAGACUGCCGGUGAUAAACCGGAGGAAGGUGGGGACGACGUCAAGUCAUCAUGGCCCUUACGAGUAGGGCUACACACGUGCUACAAUGGCGCAUACAGAGGGCAGCAAGCUAGCGAUAGUGAGCGAAUCCCAUAGAGUGCGUCGUAGUCCGGAUUGGAGUCUGCAACUCGACUCCAUGAAGUCGGAAUCGCUAGUAAUCGUAGAUCAGAAUGCUACGGUGAAUACGUUCCCGGGCCUUGUACACACCGCCCGUCACACCAUGGGAGUGGGCUGCAAAAGAAGUGGGUAGUUUAACCUUUCGGGGAGGACGCUCACCACUUUGUGGUUCAUGACUGGG